UACGUAGGGUCCGAGCGUUGUCCGGAAUUAUUGGGCGUAAAGGGCUCGUAGGCGGUCUGUCGCGUCCGUUGUGAAAACUCGAGGCUCAACCUCGGGCUUGCAGUGGAUACGGGCAGACUAGAGUGCGGUAGGGGAGACUGGAAUUCCUGGUGUAGCGGUGGAAUGCGCAGAUAUCAGGAGGAACACCGAUGGCGAAGGCAGGUCUCUGGGCCGCAACUGACGCUGAGGAGCGAAAGCAUGGGGAGCGAACAGG
rnacentral:rRNA from 1 species